rnacentral:lncRNA from 1 species
AGUCACAGCCAUCUCGCUCCCAGCCCCCUUAGCCCCAGUUUUCCAACCGGUCUCCCACUUUCACGUACCCUGAAGGCAGGCAUUUAAAGCAAAAAAGAAAUCUCAAGUCACCUCACAUACGGAAGGAGAGUUUUAAUUUUGGCCAGUGGCACCAAAACGGGCACUUAAAAGUAUAUUUCAUUUUACUUGUGGUAUGUGUAUGUAUUCAGUGGGGCAGAAUUCUGUGUUUUAAAAAAUCGGUCACAUAACCAUUUUGCUGCACAAACGUAUUAUUCCCGGCCUCUUUAUCCUCUUGGUACCAAGUCAGAUAUCUCCUGAAAUAAGCCCAUCAACCACUGCCAACGUUUUUUAAAGUCGUGAACCGGUGAACUACCUUUUUUCCCCCAUUGGAACAUUUUUGUUGUAUUUUAAAAUCUUGUUUCUCUUACUGGAUUAGGUUAACACUCCUUCCUUCUUUGGCAUCCUUGGUAUCUUGCUGUCAUCCUGGGGGAAAAUGCUCAGGUUUUAAGUGUG